GCAGUGGUGGCUCGGUGGUUGAAUUCCCACCUUCCACGUGGGAGACCCAGAUUUAAAUCCUGGCCAAUGUA
rnacentral:tRNA from 1 species